AAUGAAGCAUAGUAACUUUGCCUAAACAUGUUACUAAUUGCAUGUUUGGUUUUGGUUUCAGGGUUUGCUAUGGUGCUAGUUAGCAAGUUGGUGGAUGAUUUGCCACUCGAAGUUGAUUUAGGUGCUAGUCUCUCUCUUUUGGAUAACCAGUUACAUGAGCUUCUUAUCUUAGUUCGGGUAGCAAGUAGGUUUACUUGGAGUAUGUUGGUGGGACAUGUAAUAUGAAAUUGGUAAUUAGCAAGUGACUAUUGUAUAUAAUUAGCAAGUGACAUGUAUAUAAGACCCUGGCAGAUCACCUUUGCCUCUUGUUGCUGCAGAUUGAUACUCAUCAUGUUUUGACUAGUUCCAUAUUAAGUGACAUUACAUAUAUACAAGAAUCAAUGUAUGGAUAAUUUGAUCACUUUUGAAUGUCAUCACUUUUGUGUAUGUGAAUCAAUGUAUGGCUAAUGUUUGAUCAUCGGCUAUACGUUUAGAGCAGCUUUUAUUUUUUUACCUAUUUAAUUGAGCUCGAUGGACUGUCCGUUGCUAAAAGUUCUAAUUGCUAUGGAUUGUCCAUUGCUAAAAGCUCUAAUAGGCUGUCUUUUGCUAAAGGUUGGACUGUCGAACUGUUCAUCGCUAAAUAUGAUGUCCGUCGCUAUAUACAUACAACGACGGCUUCAAUAGCAACGACAGCGGUCCGUCGCUAUAGCCUUUAGCAACGGACUGUCCAUUGGUGUACACCCCUUUUAGCAACGGACUGUCCAUCGCUGUUUAAAGGUUGUGGUGUAGUGAAUGAAAAAGCAAUAUUCAUUUGAAAUAAUAUGUAUACAUAUUAAAUUACUUCAAAACUUUCUUCUAACGUUCCUUGAUGCGAAGUCAUCGAUGAUGGUGUCAAUAUUGAUCUCAUCCAAUAAUCACUUCUCAAUGCAUAAUAUUGUCAAUCCAUUUAACCUCUCUUGUGACAUUAUAAAUCUCAAAUAGUUCUUCAUCAAUUUAAACUUAGAGAAACAAUUAGUAGCUAUAAUUUCAUAAAGUAAGGAUGACAUGAGAAACAAUUACUAACUAAAUUUCAGAUUACCUCGAUGGUUGCUGUGGCCUGGCGCCUGCCUUGGUGCCUCCUCUGCUGGAACUGUCCAUUGCCGAACAGUAAUUAGAGACGAUGGAUCAAGUGUGAGUUAAGGUCUUGUUUAGUUUACCCUAACAUCUAAAAACUUUUUAAAUUUCCAUCAGAUCGAAUCUUUCGGCACAUGUAUAAAAUAUUAAAUAUAGAUAAAAAUAACUAAAAAUAUGAUUUUUCUGUAAUUAACAAGAUGAAUUAUUUAUACCUAGUUAGUCCAUUGAACAAUAAUUACUAAAUACAAACAAAAGUAUUAUAAUAUUAAAAUUUAAAAUUUUUUUGGAUCUAAACCAGGGUAAGAUUAGGGCCGUGUGAUAAGUGUGAAUUGUCGGCUGCUCUGCUGCUGGAAAGUCAAAAGUGGAACUCCGACGCCACCAGGCCCCAGCUGCUGUCCGCCCAAGCUGCACACGCAGCCGUGCAGGAAGGCCCGAAGGCGGAAGGUGACGUCUCGCAUGACGGCUGGCUCACAUCGCACAUGCCAUGCUCACAUGGAGUAGGAGAGUCAAUCUGGCAUGUGUGUAUACGUAUUACGUACUGGUGUAUACAUUGGGUAAGAAAGCUGCUUGGCUUGGGCUGGACUUAGACGAUACUUUGGCAUUUCACUAAUCAUGAAAAACUGGUUUCGCAAUUUUAUUAUCCCACAAAGUGGUUUUGUUCUUUUACCAUUAUGAACCAAGUGUACCCCGCUGGAUUGCCAUUUGGGGUGUUCGAAUUGGUGAGAAAAAAAGAAGGCCAAUCCUUCCACUUCUACCCCUGCCUAUUCUCCCGUUCAUCGUCAAAACAGAUCACUGAUCAGUUGAAUGCCCCGCCGUUGUAAGCCCUAGUUUAGUUUUAGAUAAUUGAUGAAACCCUAAUACUAACAUUUAUACUAAGUGUGUGUAGACUUAAUGAGGUUGGUACAUAACAAGUGAUGGAGCAACCGAUGAUCAUGAUGAUGAAGGUGAUGAACACAAGAUGAUCAAGUGCUCAACUUGGAAAAGAAGAAACAGAAAAACAAAGCUCUAUGGAGAUCAAGGCAAAGUAUUGCUUAGGGUUUUAGUUUUGGUGAUCAAGACACCAUAGAAGGUGUGAUCACAUUUAGGAUAGAUAGUCGUACUAUAAAGAGGGAAAUUCUUUGGCUAAGCGGUUAUCGAGUGCCACUAGGUGUCAUUGUUCAUGUGUAUGCAUUUAGAACAUAGUGAGCUAACUUAACUCCUUCGAAGAAAAUGAUUGUGAAAAUGCUAACACACUUGCACAUGUUGGUACACACAUGGUAGUCUUGGCACACUUUGAGAAGGAGGUAGAGUUUGAAGGGUAGAGAGGGGUUUGAGAUUCGGUGUUUUUGAGAAAAUGAAAUGCAUAUUUUCUAUUACACUGGUGGAAAGUUUGGAGAAGUCAUGAGAGUGUUUUUCACGGACGCUGGCCUCAGAGGCACCGGACGCUGCCUCUAAGUGUUCGGUGCACUCUCGUUUCUGGUAGAGGUGAAGGGAGCACCGGGCGCCCAGCACCGGACUCGGGCUAGACCCUGUUCAUGCGUCCGGUGUGGCUUGACAUCAACAGUAAGAGUAUGAGGGUUUCUGACUGAGAGCACCGGAUGCUCAGGAAGCUUCCGGUGGUGUGAGUCUGGUGAUCCCGUGUCUUUGCAACCCUCUCUACGUACGUGUCCGGUGUGUCCCGGACACGUCCCGUGCUCACUUGACUCCAUCCGGUGGUUUGAAUAUGACCGUUAGAGAUUGACACGCGAGAUUCAAGUUGUGGACACAUGGCUGUGUUCUGAGCACCAGACGUAGGGGUUGAGCGUCCCGUGACCCCAUGUUCAGCCCAGUGAAAGAGCCAACGGCUCUAUUUGUUUGAGGGGCUUAUAAAUAUUUGUUGGCCGGCUUGGGGCUCACUUUCUUGACAUUCUUGACUACUAGACAUCCUUGUGAGCCUAAGCAAACACCUCCCACUCAUCUCCUUCAUAGAUUAAACAUCUUUGUUAGAUUGAGAGUGAUUCCAAGUGUAUUUGCCUGAGUCAUUGCAUCUAGUGGCACUUGGGGAUCGAUUUGGCUAUGGUUUUCUUGUUACUCUUGGUGGUUGCCGCCACCUAGAUGGCAUGGAGCAGCGGAGGAGCAUUGGCCUGAGUUGGUGAUUGUUCGUGGCCAUCUCCCAGUGAUUGUGAGGGAACUAUGCCUACCUUGGCGGAGAGCCAAAGGUAACUUUAGUAGAUUGCGCGUGUCAUCGAGCUACCUCACUUGUGGGUAGGUUCUUGCGGUGUCCUAGUGAGGACAAGGUUCGUGCUACACCUCUUAGCCGCCGAUCCGCCAAGUGUUGAUCGACACAACGGGGAUGUAGCGUGCCAGGAAGCACAUGAACCUCGAGAGAAAAAUUGGUGUCUCAAUUGUGUUUGAUUGGCAUUCUCCUAGUGCUUGAUUAUUCAUAUAUUGGUGAUUGAUUCAUCCCCUACACGACAGUAUAAAUAUCUCAUCCUCUUCAUCUACUCACCGCAAAGUAGUGUAAUUAGUUUAGUUGCUUACUUUCUCUUGAGUAUCAUAGUUCACUAGUGUAGCUUGUAGUGACAUAGUUCUUGUGUGCCUAGUGAUCAUAUCAACUAGAAUUGUUGGAUAGGUGGCUUGCAAACACCACUUUUAGAGCUUGAGCAAAAAGCUUCGCUUUGUUAUUUAAUAACCACUUUCUCUAGUGAGUUUGUAGAAAUUUUAAAUAGGUUAUUCACCCCCUCUAGCCAUAUUUGGGCCUAUCAAGUGGUAUCAGAGCCGUGGUCACCAUUUUGUGAAGGCUUAACAACCUCGGUGCUCAAAUUAUUGCUCAAAGAGUGUUCAACCAUGUUGGGGCAAACCACAGUUCUUUGAUGGGACAAGUUCCUUUGACUAUUGGAAGAGAAAAAUGAAAAUGUACCAUGGAUCAAUCAAUGAUAAAGUGUGGGAAGUCACGGAGAAUGAUUUUGUGAUCCUUGAUCCCGCCAACCCCACCAACGAUGAGAGAGCAAACAAGCAAUGCAAUACAAUGGCUCUGAAUACAAUCUACAAUGGCAUUGAUUCAAAGGUGUUUGAACAAGUCAAAGAUCUUAAGAAGGCAAGUGAAGUGUGGACAAGGCUGGAAGAGACCUCUGAGGGCACUACAACGGUAAAAAGUGCCAAAUUAUACAUGCUCAAGGACAAGUUAUCCAACUUCAAGAUGAAGGAUUAUGAGUCCAUAAUGAAGAUGUCCUAUAGGCUCCAAGUCAUCAACAAUGAUCUCAAAGGCCUUGGUGAGAAAGUAAAGGAUGGAGACUUCAUUCACAAGUUCUUGAUGUGCUUACCCAAGAGGUUCAAGACAAUGAAAACAAUCAUCUUUAGAGAGGAUUGAAGGGUGUUUCUCCCAAUGAGGUACUUUGAGAUGUCAUGACCAGAGAUCAAUACAAUGACAAUGAUGAUGAUGAGUUCAUGAAGAAGGAUGAUGAUGAUAAAAAGAAGAGUGUAGCAUCCAAAGCUAGAUCUUCAUCCAAGACCAAGAACAAGGGCAAGGCCAAGAAGGAAGAAUCAAGUGAUGAGGAGUGCUCUAAUGAUGAUAGUGAUGAUGAAGCACUAGCAAUCUUUGUCCGCAAAUUUGGCAAGAUGAUGAAGAACAAGGGCUACCAUACAAGAAAGAGAAGGGACAACUCCAAGAACAAGGAGUAUGUGAGGCUAUGCUACAAGUGCAAGGGUUCCGAUCAUAUUGUGGCGGAUUGUCCUUACAAUAGUGACAAUGAUGAGCAUGAGAAGAAGAACAAGAAAGAGAAGAAAGAAAACAAAGAGAAGAAGAUGGUCUUCAAGAAGAAGAGGAAGGGUGGAUCCUAUGUUGUGACAUGGGAUAGUUAUACUUCUUCUGAUGAUGAUUCAAGUGAUGAUGACAAGGCAUCCAAAAAGAAGGUGGUUGCUAGUAUUGCUAUCAACAACAAGCCAUCACUCUUCGACACUCCUUCAUUCUUUAUGGCUAAGGGCCACAAGGUACAAUAUGAUGAGAGGGAAAGUGAAAGUGAACAUGAAGAUGAACAUGAUAGUGAUAGUGAUGAUGAAAAUUAAUUCACUAAAGAACAACUCAUGGACAUGUUAGAGCAAACUGAUUCACUUAUUCAUUGUAAAAACAAGAAGUGCAAUGAAUUAUCCAAGAAGUUAGAAGCUCUUGAGCAAUCCUUUGAUGAGCUCGAUGCUACUCAUGAGAGGCUAGUGGAUGCCCAUGAGAAUAUUGGCAAGGCUCACACCAAGCUUGAAAAAGCUCACUCCUUGUUGUUAGAAGAGAACAAGGAAAAGGUUGUUGUAUCAUGUGAUGUGGGCACAACAUGUAACUUAAUUAAAGAAUCACCCAACUCAUCUAUUGUUGUUGCCACUAACUCUUCUUGUAGGUCUUCAUCCACCACCACUAAAUCUACCUCUACUUCUAGUGUUGGUGUCAUGUGUGAUGCUUCACUAAAGGUUGAGAAUGAGACUCUCAAGAUAGAGGUGGAUGAGCUCACUCACACGCUAGGCAAAGCCUAUGGUGGUGAGGCCCGCUUGCUAAAGUGCUUGGGUAGCCAAAGGUUUUCUCUCAACAAAGAGGGAUUAGGCUACACCCCCAAGAAAGGCAAGAUGACCUUCAACUCACAAGCCUAGCUUUGUGAAGAGCAAUGGUCAUUAUUGCAAUAGAUGCAAGCAAGUUGGGCACCUAGAGCUUAAUUGCAACAAAAUGAACAAGAACAAGAAAAUUGCUAAUGUAUCUUACAUUGCUUUUGAUUCUUGUUAUGUGCUCACCAAGGGUGAGAAGGGUGUGCAUGCUAAGUUUGUUGGUACACCAAUUGUAGGACACACUUCAAUAUUCCAGUGGUUGAUGGGCCAUCGUUUGAUCCUAUUAAGGUCUAGGGUUCAAACCAAUUGAAAGGCGGUUCAGUUAUGCCAACCGUCUGUAGAAAAUAUGAAAUCGGUUUUUAAAAAUAGGAAAAAAAAAUAUUUACAGGGAAAGCCCAUUGGCUAUUCGCCCGCUUGUCUCUGCCUCAAGUCGCAAGUCGCGCAUUUUUUCACGUAAAAUCACGUGCUACGCGGUUGGUGGGAUUCGAACCUGAGACCUUGUUAACGGUCCUUAAGUAUCAAAUUUAAUUAUCAAAUAAACAAAGAAAAGGAUCCAAACGAAAUCAACAUCCAGACUUAGGGUUUUAUUUGACAGAAUUCCAUGAGUUUUGGUGUUUGUCUAUUUCUGCAGGGGGUAAUCAGGAAACACGGAAGAAAGGACAACACGUCGGGAUUACAUAGAGAUAUUAACGUGCCGUGCAAUUAUCUUACAUCUAGAAGACUCUAGAAGCCACGGGAAGGAAGCGGAGGCCGAACGGGGCCGGGCACUGGGCGCCCGCCCAGUUGCCCUGGGCGCCCGCCCCCUGUUGGAGCCCAAUCAGGACUCUGUUUCGGGGAAGAUCUCCAUCGACUUAAAGGAUUAAGGAUAACCGUUCAAUCAAUGUCGGUUUGAUCCAACGGCCCAUAUGUAAAACUAGACCCCCUGGCCCCUGGAGGAGAGAGCCUCUCAACCCUAAUUCAUUAUUCUCAAGAGAGAAGAAGCCUCUGAUCAAGAUUAGAGCCACCACAUCAAUUAGACAUCUAGAUUAGCAUAGCUACAUAGGAUUAGAACUAGAAAGAGUCAAUCUUCGAUUCUUUUCCGGAUCUGUCAAGAGGAUUCUUGGUAAUUCUCUAAUUGUGCGUCUAAUUGCUUUCUAAUUAUCUUUGUUCUUCAAUAUUAUGAAUAUGACUUUGUUCUACUUCGAUAUAUUGCUUAUGACUUUGCUCUACUUGCUUAUAUUCAAGAUUAUAUUGUUCUUAGUUUAUCAUAGUUAUGUACUUGGCUUAGUUAGAUUGGAUCUAUAUACAUGCUUAGGAUCAUAUAGCGUUUAUCCAUCGGAUCCAUAGGUAAAUGAUACAUAUUGUGUAGGCAUGGUGCUUAUACCGUAUUUAUCUGCGAUUGUACCCAAUAUGCCAAAUCGUGGGUUAGUUCGUGAUAGUGACAGCUUCAUUGAUUCUUAUAUAGUCCCCCUCUCGUGUAUUGGGCCGGCAGAGCAACAUUAUUACAGGGGAGUGAUUGCUACGUUUCUCAUUUACCUUGCUAAUAUCACUAUGCAUAGGCGUAGUCUUGUCUCACAAUGAUUGCUAAGUAUGCUUGCACUAAUUAUGAUAAUGCUAGACUAUAUAAUUGAGAAUAACUUAGGAAAUAUUCUUGUAGUUCAUUCUAAUACCAUGCUAAUGACUUCCUAGAGUAUCUAAUUGAGGUGCUUAUCAUAUUUAUUAUGUGGCUAAGUUAUGAUCAGAUUAAUUAUCUUUGUCACUAUUCAUUACUUCAUAUAUCUUUUAUGUGACACUUACCCCUGUAUGAAAGAGUUAGAUAUAUGUUCUCAAUUAUACAUGCAAUGAUAGAUACUCAAUCUCAUAUUCUAUUCUGUAAUCAAUAUUGAUGAUUGUUAAUCCCUUCCCAGUGGUAAAAAUAUAAAUAACGAUACCCGGAAUACUUCCCGGUUAAAAUGCUACAUCGGUAUUAAUCUAUGCGCUUGCAGAUCCCAUUCAUUAUUUAUUUAGAAGAGCAAUUGCAUAUUUGAAUACCGCGUCUCUCAUGUCAUGCUGGGGAUGACAACUUGGCUUAAGUGGUGUGAGGGAUAGGUUUGGCAUUUUUGGCACCGUUACUAGAAUUAGAAAACUUAGUCUACUUUUGGUAAUGAUGUUAAGAAUACCCAACAGACCUCGCCCUCCUCUACCACUACACCUAUCACUCACUUGUGUUUGUAUUAGAGUUUAGUUCCCCACAUACUAUCAUAAACCAAGCAUAAAUUGAUGAUUUGAGGCCCUAAACGGAUUCAAAUGAGGUUCGAGAUUUUGGUCUAGCCCUAGUCCGCCUUAAUCUAUGAAACCUAUUUUAAGUUUUUCGCAACUACUAUAGCUACUAUGACUAUGAUGACAACAACAACUACUACUUGUCGUACUCGUAUAGACAAAAUCAAAUCACAAAACACAAUCUCUGCAAGCUUCAAGACUAUAAUAGAGCAGUGGCAUGUUUUGGCUUGCGAGUGGCUCACGAGCCAGCUCGAGCUGGCUGGUUAUCUCUAACGACAUGAAAAACAUGCUCGGCUAAUUAGAAAAAUACAUCAAGCCGAGUCAAGCAGAGCCGAGUUAGACACGAGUCGAGCUUCGAGUUUUUGGUCCAGGCUUGGUCCGCCUUGGUCCGCCUUGAUCCGAUCUGUUUUCAUCGCUAUCAUCUAUAUAUUCAUCGUUGUAGGCAAGUGGGCGAAGUGAAUCAUUGAUGACUAAGGCCUUGUUUAGUUCCAAAUUUUUUUGUAAAAUGGGCAUUGUAGCACUUUCGUUUGUAUUUGACAAACAUUGUCCAAUCAUAGACUAGCUAGGCUCAAAAGAUUUGUCUCGCAAAUUACAGGCAAACUGUGCAAUUAAUUUUUUUAUCUAUAUUUAAUGCUCCCUGCUUGUGCCAUAAGAUUUGAAGUGACGGAAAAUCUAAAAAAAUUUGCAAAAUUUUAUGGGAACUAAACAGUCUAUAUAGCUAAUACGAUUUUUUUCUAUGUUGACCCAACUUUCCAUAAACUUAAUGGCCUAUUACAACAUGUAUAUGUAUUUCAUUGAUUUGAUCAAAAAUUUGGAGACCUCGAUAACUAACAAAUUUUGGUAAUCUAAUUUUUUUGGGUAAAUUUUAGAAUCUACAAAUGCCACUGUCAUCACCAAUCCAAAAACACCUGGCGGCCCGCUUUCUAGCGAAAACAAAGCAGUGAGCGCCAAAUACCCCGCACUUUUUAUUUUUUGCGGUGCUAUGCAACCAUGCCUGCCCCCUCCAAAACCCAAUCGACACCUCCACUUAAUUUAAUCACCAGGGAAGGCAGCCGCCAGUUAGGUUUUGAGAGCAUAUUAGAUGGCGACCUCCUCGGCAGCUGCAGGAACAACGGAGAUGGAGCGGCAACCCGCAUCGACGACGGCAACCCCAGGGUACACGACGCCGACGCCAACACUAGCACGCACGAGCGGCCGCCACCAUCCACGACGAUGAGACACGGGGCCAUGGCGGCGCUUUUCGGCACAGGUACGAGGCCGACCCCAGCUUCUUCAAUCGACCAUGAUGGAGAGGGCGGCAGUCAAGAAAUCAACAGCCGACAUCAUUCCUCAAGUCUCAGACCAAACUUCAGGCCAUUCGACUCACACCCUCGGUAAGAUUCAAUUAACUGAUAUCUGCGCUUAACAUAAUCCUUCAUUUACUGAAAUAGUCCAGAUUCUGGUAAUGGUGUAUGUAGGGACAGAGCUAUGUUAGCACUAAUUCUCCAACGUGUCUGCACCCCGAAACCUAAACGAGUGGAUAUAUUCUUCAGUUAUACACAUCCUAAAUGAGUUUACAUUAAAAGAUUCUUGGUCUGUAGAAAGUACAGAGAUGAUAUCCUGAAAAGUUCAGCAUCUUAAUAGGAGUACUGAAAGUCUAAACAUAUGCAAACACAUCUAUAUAAUAGGAGUACUGAAAGCCUAAACAUGCAAACACAUCUAUACAAUACGAGUUUACAUAUGUUUCAUUAACAGAAUUUAGACUGCUCAUAGUUCCAAAUAUAUAUGUCUCCCAGCAAACUAUGUCAUCCAACUGAUGAAACCAGCACCAAUACAAAUACAUAUUUCUUCUAGCAAACUAUGUCCUCUGCCAAUAAAUUUUAUUGCUUGUUCAUUAGUGUACUUAAAUAAAAGUACUCAGUUUCCCUUCAACUAUCAUCCAAGUAUGUAUGAAUGUGUUUUCCAGGGAAAAUACUACGAUGUCAUUGGGAGAAACAGAAUCUUGGACUCUAUAUUUUCGUCUCAUAGGAGCACCAUCUCCACAGGAUAUAGCUGAAAUUGAAUUAGAUAGGAAUGAACUCACGUUUGGGAACUUAUUAACAAUGAAAACACGUUUAGGUUACUCUGUGAGGGACUUCUUAUACUAUAAGGAAUGAAGAGGUAACAGUCUAGCAACACUUUGUGAAAUUGAAACAGAACUAGAUGCAAGUGGAAUGAUAACAAUGAAUGAUGAGGAGAGAGAAGUCAGAUUAGUAUUGAGCAGGGAUAGAAUAACUGAGUGAAAUGUAUCCAUAACUCCCAUGAAACUACCUCCGGGUACAGCAUUUUAUGAGGAUGAAUUCACAAAUGAGCCCCUUGAUGACUACAAGGACUGGCUUGCAGAAAUGCAUGUCGACAACGUAGGCCAUGGUAAGUUGACUUGCUACACUGGUGUCCAUAACUGUAUCUUAAUUCAUUGAUAGGCAUUUGAAUAACAUAAGCAUGUUUCCAGAACUUUGUUAUACAUUUAGAGAAGACACAGUCAAAGCAUGAGAAUGGUAAUGUCUGGAAGGAAAACUCGAUGACAUCGGUAAUAUAAUAUCUCUCUCCAAGUUGUAAAUUAAUUUAAUAGUUCUUCAGAUACCAAUUUUAACGUAUGCUCUAUUAUUGUCGGAGGCAUAUGCAGAGCUCCCCAGCACUCAGUCAGGUCAAUCCAGCAAUCCAACAACACCAAUACAGCGCCCAAGUCAUGCUCGUCGUGAAAAGCAACUGGUGAACGAUGGUUAGCAUUUUUUUGGAAAACAUUACUAUAAGGUGCAAUUAUAUUCCACAAUAUUGACAGGAACAUUUACUUAAUCUAUUGUAUGUCAUUUUGAAGGGCGAUGUGGUAGUGAAAAGAGGAAGUUUAAAGGACGUGGGCCCAUCAAAGGUUUAAAUGUAUCUAACAAAAGAGCUAGGCAGGGCACUAUGAAACUGGAUGUUCAAAUCUCUAGACUGGGAGGACCUGUUGGUGGUAACCAAUGAUCUUUUGUUGAUGAAGUGGUAGUGUAUACAAGGAAAAGUGCUCCACUUAUUGGAGUGAGAAAGUGGAAAGACAUCGAUUUUGAAGUGAAAAAGAGGAUAGCAACUGAUGUAAUGGUAAGUUUCGCAUAUCUUUGGUUUGUUCCAAUCUUAUUUGUGAAAUAGUGUAAGAACUGAUCCACUUUGUGUAUUUGUUUUUUAAAUAGGAAAAGUGGGACCUUGAUGAUACUUUGCAAAACAAAAAAAUGAUAUGGGCCAUCGCUAAUGAGCGCUACAAAGGAUGACGAUCAACAUUUUGUGCAACGUAUAGGGCUUACGACACUUAUGAUGAGAGAAUGCGACAUAAGCCCGAAGACCUACACAUUGUUGAAUGGCACUAUCUAGUAUUGUAUUUCGGCACAGAGGAAUUCCAGGUUUGAUUCCAUUUACUAUUUUUCUUGCCAAAUGCAGUUGUAGAGAUAAAUGUUUUCUUUGGAGGAUUGUUUUUUAAUACAAACACAACAUGCAGAAACUUAGCAAUAUGAAUUCUCAAAACCGUUCACUUGCACAAACAAAGCAUAUGAUGGGAUCAAAGCCUUUCGCUCAGUGCAGCUAUGAACUGGUAAUGAGUUUAGAAGCACAUUGAUGUUUUCUUACUUGAUGAAAUAUUUAUUUGUUUCAUUCUUGCCAAAAUUAGAGAGACCCACAAACUGGUGAAGAACCAAAUGAUGUGGAUCUUUGGGUGAAAACACACAGUAAGGGAGGGAAAUGGACAAAUGAUGCAUCUAAGGCUGUCUAUGUGCGUAUAUAAUUGUUUCUACAGCCCUUACUAAAUGAUUCAUAGUAUUGCUCUUCAUUUCAAUUUUUUUCUUAACAAAGUUUGCAUGUCUUCUUUGUGUCAGGAAUCUGCUUGCAGCAAAAUUGCAGAGAAGGAAAAAGAGUCACCAAAUAGCUUUAUUCCUUUGGUAGAGAGAAACCUUAUUUUUCAGGAAGCAUACAAGCAAACUACUAGAGCUAAAUCAUCCAAGGUUCAUGGUAAUGGGUAUUUGGCAAGGUACCCAAGUAGAAGGCAGCUAAUGACUGAACGUUUUGAGGACCAAGCCUGUUCUGAAAUGGCAUCCCAUAUGGAAAAUGAAGAGCUGAAGGCUACACUCGAGACAAGAACAACUUCAAAGCCAAGUAUCUGAAAGGGAAGCCGAGAAGGAGGAACAUAGGCGUAAGAUGGAAGAAUUGCAGAAAGCAAGGGAGGCCAAUAAAGAACAACUUAGGCAAGAGUUUAUGUCAAUGCUAGCAGCACAAAGGCAAGGACCAACACCGCAGGUAAUAGUAUUGUAAUAUUGGAACUUGUAUAUUUAUCAAGUUAGUAGGUUUGUCUUUUGAUAGGUUUUUUUGUUGCAUACACUUGACUGUCAUCACCGUAAUAUGCUUGCUCAAACUUAGAAGACUAAUCAAUUAAGAUUUUGUCUAUGGGAGCUAAGUAGUAGUAAUGAAAAAUUUUAAAUGCAGGUUAACCAAGCUGCCAUCGAAACAGCAGCCAACGAAACAACAGCUAAUGAAAUAGCGACGAACCAAACACCCCGAGUUGUUUGUGAACCAAUCUUGACUGAAAGGGAAGAAACAACAUAAGAGAAUGAAGGACAAUUAGAUCAGGUUAUUGUAGACUGAAAACUGAUUACAACCAUCAUGAAUUAGUACAUGGUGUGAGAGUCCUAAUAUUUUUCAUGAAAGUUUUGAGUUACAGAAUAACCUACAAAUGAAGCAGAAGGGACAACUCGUAGCUUCAACACCUGCAGGUAACAUUGUGCGCACCACCAGAGGCAGUCUUAACCGAAAUCAAUCACAAAACAAAGAAGGGAAUGCUGCACCAAAUUUCAUUACUUUAAAAAAUUUGUCGGAUGCUGUGGCAAAGAGACGAUCAACCAAAAAGAAUUGAAUGUAAGCUUUGUUUUUCCUAUGCGUUCACAAUGCCUUUCUAUACAUGUGCUUUGCAAUGUCUCUUUACUGAAUAACCUAUCAAAAAAUUGUGAAUGUUCUUUAUUUCAGGACGACAGAGUUUCAGUGUCGGGAUAGUCUAAAUCAGGCACAUGUAAGGUAAAAUUCCUUCCUAUGCUUGACAUUUACUUUGCUUGUGACUAUCUAUUUUUCUGAAUGAUUGUGAGCACUAUGCUAUUGAGCUAAGAUGUGCCCUGUAAAAUAGUACCAAUGGUUUUGGAUAACUGAUGCCCUUUUAUUUUCUUAUAGUCAUUGUCACUAUGUUAUUGUUGUGAACACCUGACCUGCACCUGCUUCUUGUUAUGUGCUUAAAUUUUGGCAUAGCUCAUCUAACCUGCACUAAAUUGGCAGACACUGUUGGAUGGUUCUAAUGGUUUAAGCACUAGAUUCAUGAUAAAUAGAAAUUAACAAGAUCUUAUUGAGGAAUUCUAAACUAGCAUUACUUUAUCUCUUGUUUAUAUCUUCGCUAUGUAUUUUAUGGAUGACAUCAACUAGUAACUGCAUAGAUCAUGAAGGUUAAUCUUUUUGGAGUACGGUUUUAUUGAUUUAGAAAUUGUUUAGUAACCAACAACACUAUUAAGAUGGGACAGUUUGGCUGCAGCAGCGAUCUGCUGCUGCUACAGUUCCCACUACAGAUCCUUGCCGAAGCUGCAGCUGCUGAUUAAUGAUGAUAAUUUUAAUCCAUCAUGUCAGGGAAUAAUUUCUCCAUAUCUUCACAGGACACAAAACACAAGACACAAAUGACUUUUGAGUAGCUAAAAAUUUGUGGCCUUGCAUCUUUUGCUAAUUAAGUCUAUUGAUAUUUGUGUGUAGGCUAUGCAGGUGAGGCAGUGGAGUGUCAGGUGCAGGCUAAGGUGCUAUGUUGUGUGAGGCAAUAGGGAGUAAAUUAAUUUAGGCUAUGAAAAAUGCAAGUGAUGAAGCUAGAGUUUGAUGUGGAGCAAACAAGUGAUAUGAUCGCCUGCAGUGGUGUGUAGGCAUCUUAUAUGUUUUGGCUUAGGAACAAAUGUUUUGGAUAUCUUUGUUUCAAUAAUGUGUGUGUAAUCUGAGUUUGAAUUUGGAUUAUUUAUUUCUAGAUGUGAAAAAUUAAACAAGUUAAUAUUUUGGUUUAAUGGUUUUAUUCAUUUGGUUUGUUGAUGUCUAUAUUGAGUUUCCAAUUUAUUAACAGCAUUGCAAUAUUGUCUGGUGGCACCAAAGCAAAAUAUUGUGAAAGUUGCUAUUGGCAAUCAAAUUUUCUAUGGUAAUAUAUCGUAUAGCAAUGAACAAUCCAUGUAGCAAUAGCGACUAUACCAUAUAGCAACGACAAUGGGAAUUUGGCAAUUGCCUAUAUUGCUACUACUUCUUGGGGUUGCCACAUAGGUGUUGUUGCCACACUCAUUAUGUGAUGUAAUAGAGGUUGCACCUUAUAGCAACGACUAUACGAAUGUGGCAAUUACACAUGUUGCCACCAGUUCUUGGUGUUGCCACAUAGGUCUUGUUGCCACACUCAUUAUGCGAUGCAAUAUAGGGGCACCUUAUAGCAACCAAACUUUAAGCGUGGCAAUUGCACAUGUUGCCACUACUCCUUAGUGUUGCGACAUAAUCCUUAUUGCCACACAUGUUAUGCGUGGCAAUAUAUUGUCUUGCAACACACGUUCAUCAUUGCUAGUGCACCAUUUGCUACGAUAGGGGCAAGUUGCUAUUGCAAGGUCUAGCAACGCCUAAUGCAUUGCAUUAGUUGUUUUUGCCACACCUACAACCGUAGCAAAACCUUAUGUUGCAAUGCCUUGGUGUUGCAAAACCAAAACACAUUUUGCAACGCUUCCCAAAAAAGCGUUGUCCAAAGCUUUACCCACGCAAGCGCCUGCAACGCCUCCCAACAAAAAAAAGUGUUGUUAUUUCUGCUAUUGCAACUAUUUUAGGACUAUUGCAACACUUUUUGGGCGUUGAAACAUGGUCAAAAUUUAGUAGUGAGUUAUGACUGCCGAUUCAGGGAUGACUAUGUUCAGGAUUACAUAAUGACAGUCGAUUGAUCCAAAUUCAGAUAUGGCUGCUGAUUGAUCUUAUUUUUUAUUAGCCUAGGAAUUACCUGUUUUGCGUAGUAUGCUACUGCUGCUUCUAUAUGUGUGGGUAAUUAACAUAUCUAUAGAAGAAAACUUGUCUGCUUACCCUUUGUGUUUUCCCCAUUUUUUCUUUUUUGAAUCAUGAAUUGGCAUAUAUGAGUAGGAGGGAUCGACGUGUAGAUAGAGAUUUAUGUACAUCUUUUGUUCCUUUGUUUACCAUGUUGAUAGCAGUGCCUCUCUCAAUGUUGCAAUAAGUGCACAGGCUAGGAUAGGGAGCUUUGUUUCCACUGCGGCAUGCAACAAGCAAAUAGGCUAGGUUAGGAUAGGGAGCCCUCAAUGUCUCACAGUUUCAACAUGUUAGAUGUUUAAAGUUUUAAGAGUGUAACAUAGCCUGUAGAUCAAGUUUCUAAUGCAUCUAUUGUUUGACUGUGAUAGUACUGCUAACUAAAACUGUUUAUAUCUGUUUCUAUGGUUAAUUCAGUCCAUAUCUUUUUGUAUUUGCAUUUAAAUGAUUUUCAGUGAUGGAGUCAGGUAGAAAGAGUCAAAUGUGUUUAAAUUGAUUAUAGAAAGUUCAAAGUAGGGGCUAUGACUGAGUGACUAUGAGUGGGUGAUGCCUCGUGAACCCAACACAGUGCCCUUCAUUUCAGGUUUUAGUAGGAAAUAAAUAUGUUGAUCACUUGCCUCAAGGUAUUUCAGGUUUCACAGAGAAACGUGUAACAUGUUUAGUUUUAAAAAUUAAGAAUAGCACUAGCAAUACUCAACAUGUCCUUGCACAAGAGGCCAUCUAUUUAUGGAAAGUUAAGAACAAAUACUUAUUAUUUCAACAUGAGCUUAUAUGAAUUUACCUAUUUGUGCUCAGGCCAUUGGAACUAGGAUGUGGGUAGCCUAUGUGGUGUGUUGCAUUGCUCUAAAGUUGUAAUCAGGUUUUUGUCAAUUGCUAGCACAUAAAGGAUUGAUGUAUGCAGUUCAAUAUUCAAUUCAACAAUCUUAUGCAGAUCUGUGAUAUAUAAACUCUUUUGUGAUAUAUAGACUAUGUGAUACACACUGUUGCAAUAAAUCCUAGUUUAUUUUCCUUUACAUGGGCUGCAUUUGCAUAUUUUAAGUGAGAAAAAGCUUCCUGGAAACUUGAGAUAGGAGCUUGUGGCACAUGUACAGUUAGUAGGCAAAAAAUAACUCGACUUUGAGAUAGCUGUGAUAAUUUUUUUUCAUUUUUGAUUCAUCUAAACAAUCUCGUUGAACCCUAGUGCAAACAAGUCAAAACAAGAGAUACAAUGAGAUCUAAUUUGCAUAUGUGUGUACCGCAACAUUAGCUCGGGUACCACAAGUGUUAAUUUACUAAGUUUCUAUGGAGCACCUAUUUACUACAUGAAUUGACUUUCUCAACACAUAAGUAAGCUUCAAAGAUAUGGAAAACUCAUUAUUUAAGAUCCAAUUAAUUUAGAAAAAAAUGAAGCAUAGUAACUUUGCCUAAACAUGUUACUAAUUGCAUGUUUGGUUUUGGUUUCAGGGUUUGCUAUGGUGCUAGUUAGCAAGUUGGUGGAUGAUUUGCCACUUGAAGCUGAUUUAGGUGCUAGUCUCUCUCUUUUGGAUAACCAGUUACAUGAGCUUCUUAUCUUAGUUCGGCUAGCAAGUAGGUUUACUUGGAGUAUGUUGGUGGGACAUGUGAUAUGAAAUUGGUAAUUAGCAAGUGACUAUUGUAUAUAAUUAGCAAGUGACAUGUAUAUAAGACCCUGGCAGAUCACCUUUGCCUCUUGUUGCUGCAAAUUGAUACUCAUCAUGUUU
rnacentral:lncRNA from 1 species